rnacentral:rRNA from 1 species
GAGAGCGUCUUAAACUGCAGACCUAGAAGAAUGUAGAUCGCACGGUGAAAUUCAGGUGUAGCGGUGGAAUGGCGCAGAUAUUCUGGAGGAACACCAGUGGGCGAAAGCGGUCUCUGGAUCAUUCUGACAUUCCAGACGCGAAAGCUAGGGUAGCAACGGGAUUAGAGACCCCAGUAGUCCUAGCCCUAAACGAUGUAGACUAGACGUCGGUGGUGUAAUAGCUGUCGGUGUCAAGCUAACGCGAUAAGUCUACCGCUGGGGACUACGGCUGCAAGGUUAAAACUCAAAGGAAUUGACGGGUCCCCGCACAAGCAGCGGAGCGUGUGGUUUAAUUCGUUGCUACACGAAGAACCUUACCUGGGUUUGACAUAGCAGUGGUAGGGAAGAGAAAUCGGACCGACCCUUUCGGGGAGCUGUUACAGGUGUUGCAUGGCUGUCGUCAGCUCGUGUCGUGAGAUGUUCGGUUAAGUCCGCUAACGAGCGCAACCCGCGUUGUGUGUUAUAUGUGUCACACAAUACCGCCGGUAUUAAGCCGGAGGAAGGUGCGGAUGACGUCGAGUCAGCAUGACCUUUAUAUCCAGGGCUACACACACGCUACAAUGGACAGUACAACAGGUUGCCAAGCCGCGAGGCGGAGCCAAUCCUCUAAAGCUGUCCUCAGUUCAGAUUGCAGGCUGCAACUCGC